CACGUAGGGGACGAGCGUUAUCCGGAAUUAUUGGGCGUAAAGCGCGCGCAGGCGGUUUCUUAAGUCUGAUGUGAAAGCCCACGGCUCAACCGUGGAGGGUCAUUGGAAACUGGGGAACUUGAGUGCAGAAGAGAAAAGCGGAAUUCCACGUGUAGCGGUGAAAUGCGUAGAGAUGUGGAGGAACACCAGUGGCGAAGGCGGCUUUUUGGUCUGUAACUGACGCUGAGGCGCGAAAGCGUGGGGAGCAAACAGG
rnacentral:rRNA from 1 species